GCGAUAUUGGAAGUGAUACUGAAAAUUGGAAUGACACAGAAAAAAUUACCAUGGGCCCUGUGCAAGAGUAACACACAAACUUGCAAAGUGUUUAAUAUUUUG
rnacentral:snRNA from 1 species